AUGCUGGCGGCGUGCCUAACACAUGCAAGUCGAGCGGCAGCGAGUUUUACACUGAAUUCUGGAAGCUUCUGGGUAAUAUAGAAGAUUUAUUCAAGAAUUUUGUGUAAAAUGUCGGCGAGCGGCGGACGGCUGAGUAACGCGUAGGAAUUUACCUCAAAGUGAGGAAUAACUGCCCGAAAGGGUAGCUAAUGCCGCAUAUGGUCUUCGGAUUAAAGCCUUCGGGCGCUUUGGGAGAAGCCUGCGUUGGAUUAGGUAGUUGGUAGGGUAAUGGCCUACCAAGCCGACGAUCCAUAGCUGGUCUGAGAGGAUGAUCAGCCAGACUGGAACUGAGACACGGUCCAGACUCCUACGGGAGGCAGCAGUGAGGAAUCUUCCACAAUGGGCGAAAGCCUGAUGGAGCAACGCCGCGUGAAGGAUGAAGGCCUUCGGGUUGUAAACUUCUUUUAUGAGUGAAGAAUAUGACGGUAACUCAUGAAUAAGCACCGGCUAACUACGUGCCAGCAGCCGCGGUCAUACGUAGGGUGCGAGCAUUAUCCGGAGUGACUGGGCGUAAAGAGUUGCGUAGGCGGUUUAAUAAGUGAAUAGUGAAACCUGGUGGCUCAACCAUACAGACUAUUAUUCAAACUGUUAAACUCGAGAAUGGUAGAGGUAACUGGAAUUUCUAGUGUAGGAGUGAAAUCCGUAGAUAUUAGAAGGAACACCGAUGGCGUAGGCAGGUUACUGGGCCAUUUCUGACGCUAAGGCACGAAAGCGUGGGGAGCGAACCGGAUUAGAUACCCGGGUAGUCCACGCCGUAAACGAUGGAUACUAGCUGUUGGAGGUAUCGACCCCUUCAGUAGCGAAGCUAACGCGUUAAGUAUCCCGCCUGUGGAGUACGGCCGCAAGGCUAAAACAUAAAGGAAUUGACGGGGACCCGCAC
rnacentral:rRNA from 1 species